rnacentral:misc_RNA from 1 species
CAGAUUGCCAAGUGGUGUUAGCCUACAAGACAAAUUUUCUGUGGCAAGCACUUUAGGAAUGAUCAAAGACUAUGUGGACAGAAACCAAGCUAGUGGCAUUGGCCCAUAUGAUCUUGCUAUUCCUUAUCCUCGCAAGGUGUUCAGCAAUCAAGAUUUAAGCAAAUCAUUGUCAGAGCUGGGUCUGUUCAAUAGACAAGCAUUGAUAGUAGUCCCUCGUCAAAGAGCCAUAAAUAACCACAGAGGAGGUUCUUCGUCCGACCAAACUGCUACUAUAGUUGACACUGAUUCAUCAAUUGUGCAUAAUGGGGGAUAUUUUGCCUACGUCAAAACGAUGCUAUCAUAUAUCAAUCCACUUUCCUAUCUUGGUGGUAGUACAAGUUCAUCAAGUUCUGGACAAGCUCAAACUGGCAUGUGGGAGUACAGUCCAAAUCCAGCACUGCAGAACAACUUAGCAAGAACAGAGAGGCCAUACUCCGCUUACUCAUCAAACCAAAGCACUUCGGCAACUGGCAGAAAUGAUAACGGGAGCGGGCAACCAACGUCAUCCCGAUUUGGAAGCAAUAUUCACACAUUGAAACAUGAUGAAGACGAUAGCCAGUUCGGCGAUAGAAAUCCCUAUUGGAAUGGCAAUUCAACUCAGUAUGGUGGCAACAGCGAUGGUAAAUAAGGCUCCUGCCAGAGUUUCGUAGUCCGAUCACUGCUGAGUAUGAGCUUUUUAUCUCUGGGAGUUUCUUUUUCCACCAGUUACAGACUUCAAUUAAUCCGACUAUAAUAGUACAGACCAAGAAGGAAAGCAAACGAUAAAUCCUUAAGGGAAAUAGAAGUCCCUGAAGUUACCUUGUGGUUGUAAAUUUCUACCUUUCGCCUUUCGAAUUUGAACUCGAUAAUCUAGUUGAGUUAAAAGUGUAUUCUUGGCUGAAAAAGCCUGCUUUUAUGCCCUUUCCUUUUCUCCUCUUAUUUUAAUUUUUUUUUUAUACAAUUGACUCUGUUUAGGAUUUGAACUCAAAAUUUCA